AUGUUCAUAACCCUUUGUUGUCCGACUCUGUUGCCUCCGGGGCGACCCUGCCUUCGGGCGGGGGCUCCGGGUGGACACUUCAAACUCUUGCGUAACUUUGCAGUCUGAGUAAACUUAAUUAAUAAAUUAAAACUUUUAACAACGGAUCUCUUGGUUCUGGCAUCGAUGAAGAACGCAGCGAAAUGCGAUAAGUAAUGUGAAUUGCAGAAUUCAGUGAAUCAUCGAAUCUUUGAACGCACAUUGCGCCCCCUGGUAUUCCGGGGGGCAUGCCUGUUCGAGCGUCAUUUCACCACUCAAGCCUCGCUUGGUAUUGGGCAUCGCGGUCCGCCGCGUGCCUCAAAUCGACCGGCUGGGUCUUCUGUCCCCUAAGCGUUGUGGAAACUAUUCGCUAAAGGGUGUUCGGGAGGCUACGCCGUAAAACAACCCCAUUUCUAAGGUUGACCUCGGAUCAGGUAGGGAUACCCGCUGAACUUAAGCAUAUCAU
rnacentral:rRNA from 1 species